GCCGCGGUAGCUCAACGGUAGAGCGCUACGCUCAUAACGUAGAGGUCGUGGGUUCGACACCCAUCCGCGGCA
rnacentral:tRNA from 1 species